UGAGCUGGUAAACCGCGGAUUGGUUUUUCAUGUAACGGAUCCUGGCUAUUCGGCAGAAUAAAGAGAAGAGAAACAGAAAAGCCGCAGUUGUUGCGCGCGGCACAAAUCCUCCUGUGUGUUCGUGUGUUGCUCCUCAGGUAGGAUAGCUACUGGGUGUUCGUGUGUGUCCACAGAGAGAGAUUCGGUGAGAUUGAGUUGAAUCGCUGGUCCAGUUCUAACAG
rnacentral:lncRNA from 1 species